UGCCAGCAGCCGCGGUAAUACGGAGGGUGCGAGCGUUAAUCGGAAUUACUGGGCGUAAAGCGCGCGUAGGUGGUCUGUUAAGUCGGGUGUGAAAGCCCCGGGCUCAACCUGGGAACUGCAUUCGAUACUGGCAGACUAGAGUGCGAGAGAGGUAAGUGGAAUUCCGAGUGUAGAGGUGAAAUUCGUAGAUAUUCGGAGGAACACCAGUGGCGAAGGCGGCUUACUGGCUCGAUACUGACGCUGAGGUGCGAAAGUGUGGGGAGCAAACAGGAUUAGAUA
rnacentral:rRNA from 1 species